CGAAGCCCGGGGAGCUGCCGCCUGUGCCGGUGUCAGGCUCGGCAGGGACACGCUUCCUACUGAGAUGGCGUCUCACGGCGAGCCUGAUGCCGGCCUGGGCUGGGGGCCUGGCGACUCCUCU
rnacentral:precursor_RNA from 14 species